CAUUUAUUAGGCUAUUUAAAAUAUCACAAAUCCAUAGAAAGAUUUCGUAUAAUGAGUAUGAAUACAAAAAUGGCCAUAAAACAUAAGACAAAGGCAUUGCAUGAUAACAAUAAAUGCAGUCUGGAAUUUUGUGUUUUUAAGGCGAAAGUGAGAGAAUUCAGAGUUAUUUUGUAUAUAUGGGGUAAUGAAUGAACAUACACUGAUCAGCCACCACAUUUAAAAAAAAAAACAUAAUAUUUUGUAGGUCCCCUUUGUGCUCCCAAAAAAGCUCUAAUGUGUCGAGGCAUGGACUUCACAAGACCUCUGAACGUGUUUGUGGUAUCUGGCACCAACACAUUAGCAGCAGAUCCUUUAAUUCCUGCAAGGUGGGGCCUCCAGUUGUCUAGCCAUCACUAUUUGGUUCUUGUCAGAGUCAUUCAGGUCUUUUCGCUUGCGCAUUUCUCCUGCUUCCAACACAUGAAAUUUAAGAACUGAUUGUUAAUUUGCUGCGUAAUAUAUCCCACCCCUUAACAGGUUGACAUUGUAACAAUAUAAUCAAUGUUAUUAACUUCAACUGUCAGUGGUUUUAAUGUAGUAGCUGAUCAGUGUACAUGGAUAUGGAUAUUAUUAUUAUAUAUUAUAACAAGAACGUAUAUCAGCGCUUUACAAAGUUACGAAAGUGGGAAAUUUAACAAUAAAUAAGAAUUACGAAAUGAUACAGGAACAAUAAAUAGAUGAGGACCCUGCUCAUACAAGCUUACAAUCUAACUAGAGAAUGUGUACAUAUAUAUGGUUAUAAAUGAAUCACAUUUACAUACUCCUGAGUCUGCUGACCAUCAAAAUACUCCAGGAGGUUAACCUGAUUAAAACCAAUUAACAUGCUACUAUCGUACUCAUAAAUGGACUAGAGGUGUGACUCUCUGUAAGGAACUAGUACAGAUUUAGGGUGUAAUGCUCUCGGAGAUUAAUAAAGGAGGUUUGAUACUAUCACUUUAAGAAAAUAGAAUUUAUUUAAAUAAAGUAAUUUCACUUUGGCAGCCUUCUGCAGCAAUAAAGUUGUAAAAUAAUAAUGCAUGAAGCAUUUAAAUAGCAUGAAACUUACAUAAAUGAGGAAAAGCUUACUUGGCAAUAUAGUCCAUAGGCUUCCAAAUAAGGCAAUGAUAGAGCAGGUCAUUUCUGUAGCAUAGAAGGUGAAUGAUCCUUUUAGAAGUGACAAAUAAAUAGAACCAGAUUCAGUAUAAAAGGAGCACAAUAAUUUUCAAAUGAAUAGAACGUGAUUCUGUAACAAGUGUUAUUUCCUUUUGACAUCGGUAAUAACGGAAUUACAUAACUGUCACUUGGCAAAUGAAAGUUCUUAAUAAGGAACAAAUGGAAUCCCGGAGAACAAACUUUAUAUUUCCUUUCCUUCAGAAAUAACAUUUAGGGAAGAACCGAUUAGUAAUCCCAGUAACUGGAGAUUCUGGGAGGUCUGAGAGGUCCAGGAGGUCGGCAAGCACUGGCUCUCAACAGACCUGGCUCCUUGGUCAGAGCUAUGUUUAAACGGAGUGCCCUUUGGAGUUUUGGAGAGGUUUGAAAUCUGAGAGGUUUGCAGACACCCUCAUAAUAGAGAUUUUCAUUUUCUAUACCAUUAUUCAUUAUAAUCCACCAUUAUCUACAUGGUCUGGAUUACUGGGAGUACUUUAGCUGAUUCCCUAUGAAGAAAAAAAUAUAUAUCUUUCCUGCAGACACCCUCAUUAUAGAGAUUUAAAUUUUCUAUACCAUUUCCACAUACCAAAAUCCACUAUUUUCCACAUGGUAAGCUGCAUAAGAACUCCAUAUGAACUGCUGAUAUAUAUGAUGAAUACCUGGAUGACUGGGAGCAUUGGGAGUACUAAAGAUGAUUCCCUAUGAAAAAAAUAAUAAUAAUUUUAAGCUCCUUUUUUUUUUUUAGAUUAUACAUAAUCAGUGAACAUGAUAAAGUGUCAUCAAGAAGCUUUACCUUUUCAUUUUUUUGAUUAAGUUUCUGAAGUGGGUGAUUAAGUUAUUUUCAAAAUUGCCAAAAUUACUGGGAGUUUCUCUACAUGCAAAUAAAAGGUUAAUAGAAACCUGUGAAUGAAGAAUGAGAAUCUUUACAAAAGAAAAGGAAACAAAAUAUACAAACAAACAACUUGUUCCUGGUUUGUUUCCUUUUUUUUCUGUGUGUGCAGAGGUCUACUUUUUGUUUUACCGCCUAAAAAAGAAAUGGCGCCUAAAACUGAUAAGAUGGAGAAGACAAAAAAACAGGAUAGAGCUGAUAAACCGAAGGCUCAACCUAUUAGUUUGUUCUCUUCUCCCAAAUCACAAGUAAGUACUCUGUGCUUUUCUCCUGGACCAUCGUUAGCUCAUACCUUAGAUUGAAGUGUCUUAGAUUCUUCAAAUGCAAUAACAUAUCAAUUUAAAUCAGGCAUUAGAUAAUCUAUACAGUAGAAUUAAAAUAGAUCUGGGAAAAAAUCAAGCAGAAAUGAAGGAGGAAAUCUCCCAGAUUCGAUCAAUAAUACUUCAUGAAAUUACGCAACUAAUGCAAAUAAAUACAGAUUUACAACUUCAGAAUGAUUAUCUAAAACAAAAUAUUGCUAUACUUCAAAUGAAAGUUACAGAUAUUGAGGAUAGGUCAAGAAGACAAAAUCUCAAAAUUAGAGAUAUCUCAGAAACAACUGAAAAUUUGGAUACAUAUGUGAUGGAUUUUCUAAAGAUUUAUUUUGACCGAAAAUUACUGGGAUCAUAUCCAAAUGAAAGAAUACAUGUUACCAAGACCACAAAAUAUGCCCCAGUUAUCAAGAGAUGUCAUAGUUCGGUUUAACAAUGCAAGAAUUAAAGAUCUGUUUACAGCGUGCAGGAAAGGGGAAGGAAAGAGGAAAACUAAGAAAUUUAUUUCCCCACCUAUCUUUCCCAGAGGUUGAUCUAAUAUUAAAAAACGUCUCUUACUUAAGACACAAAUUUAGGGCCCUAUAGAGAUGCUUGUUUACAAUGGAGUUUGGAAUCUUUGUAGUAUGACAAAUUUAGGCAGUUAGCUCGAUGUUAAAAUUUAGGCAGUUAGCUUCCUUCAGAGGUUAAGGAAGUUUUUAGUGUUUUUGCCAAUGAUAUACGGCAGGUUGCUUCCACACUGUCAUUCUCUGAAGUUCUGCCUGUGCAUAACACGCAGAACGACAGGCGGAUGCGUAUUAGGGACUUUAAUUUGUGGCUUGGUGAAUGGUGUCGGGAGCAAGGAUUUGGCUUUAUUUCUCAUGGUAGCUCUGUUUGGAAUGGAAAUAACCUGUACAAAAAAGAUGGUUUGCAUCUUUCUCAAAAGGGAACAAAUGUUCUCAGUAAGCAGUUCAGAGGUUUUGCUAGGAUGUAUUUAAACUAGGGGGGGGGGGGAAAGGGUGAUAAAACAUCAAUCCAAUUGUCCCCCAAAACAAGGACAGAAGGUGCCUGUAGCAAGUGUGUUAAAAAAUGAUAAGCUUAGAGUCAUGUUUACAAAUGCUCGCAGUUUAGGGAAUAAGAUCCAUGAACUUGUGGCAAUAAUGGCAACUGAUAGUGUAGAUUUAGUCGCUAUUACUGAGACAUGGUACAAUGAGAAAAAUGACUGGGACAUAGCAAUACCAGGGUACUCUUUAUAUAGAAAAGAUAGGGAAGGCAAGAAAGGGGGAGGGGUAGCCCUGUAUGUAAAGGAUAGCAUAAAAUCUAGCCUAAUAAACGUUAGUGAGGCGAACAUAGAGUCCGUUUAGGUUACGUUAGAAUUUGGUAAUCACACAGUAACUUGUGUAGGUGUGAUUUAUAAGCCCCCAGGACAAAUUGAAGAGUUAGAUAAUCUACUCGUUGAGGAAAUAGCUAAAAUGACAAUGAAGGGGGAAGUUAUCAUCAUGGGUGACUUUAAUCUUCCUGAUGUGAAUUGGAAAACAAAAAUAGCUACUUCUGCCAGGAGCACACAUAUUCUAAACUCCCUACUGGGAUUGUCUCUAAAACAAGUUGUCGAGGAGCCAACUCGUAAAGAGGCCAUACUAGAUUUAGUGUUAACAAAUGGAGAUUUGGUAUCAGAUAUUACUGUAGGUGAAAGUUUUGGAUCCAGUGAUCAUCAGUUAGUGUGGUUUAAUAUAAGAACAGUGACUGAGUCACACCACACAAAAACAAAAGUCUUAGACUUUAGAAAAACAGACUUUUCUAAAAUUAGAAUAUGUGUAGAGGAGUCAUUAUCAGAC